CCUCCCUUCCUCCCUCCCUUCCUUCCUUCCUUCCUUCCAUCUUCUCUUGUACUGAUUUCCUUUCUGUUGAGCUGCCUUGGCACCAAAUCUUGCAUAUGGGAAACUGUAAACUUCUAAAAGGCGGGGUUUGGUAAACCCCCCAUAACAUUUUGCAUCACACUCUAAACAAAUAAUUUCUCAAUACAAGUUUAAGGGAUACAGACUUAAAGAAUCAGAGCUGAAUGCCUUGUAAUCUUAGCCCUGGUAAGACUGGUUCUCUUGACAGUCCUUGGAGCAUCUCCCCAAGAUAUUUUCUCUGUGUUUUUGCAACGAGGGACAGUUUUUCGAGUCACGUAUUUGCUGCUUCAUCUGCUGCGGCUCCCUUUCUGUUGUGAUCUCUGACCGCGGAGCUGACACAUGCGGGCUGUCUCUCCUCUCUCUUACACAGCGCAGCAUGUUGGUGCCCCAUGUUUUAUGUGCCGGCACCCCACUCCUAACAUGUUCCUGGGUAACGCGGCUUCUGCUCGAGCGCCCUUGAGACCCACUUAGAGCAUGUGCUUGGUUGAUCUAAAACUUUUCAGUAACCCUUCUCUGCCUUGAAUAGGAAAUUACAGGAGAAUGCUCUAUUUCAGCAUCACUUUGCAGUCAUUCCACCUUUAUGUCUUCCGGUUUUGCAUCCCCAAAUUGACCUUGUCCGCUGUAGCCAUUGUCCAGCGCUCUACAAAGGGGCUGCGUGCGUCCAGAACACGUCUCCAGAACUCUUCAUUUUGUUUCGGGAGCGAGCAUAGGUAAUUCUGAUUCCGGGUCAACUCCAGGGGUGUAAAAUCUUCAAAGCUGUUGUCUGGUCUAAAUAUAUUGGAAGGCGUUCACUUCUGAAGAGUACAUCAUCUCCGGAAUGUGGAUCACUCUGUAAGCCUCUCUUGGAGGAAUAUUAGCAAUGGUCUUCUAAAUAGUCUCUCUCUGGAUAAUUGUUUUGUCACAGGUCAUUUUUGAGCUACUUACUGUCACCACUAUAUGCACAGUAUUAAUCUAAUUUUAUUCCCUCAACUUGUGUGUAUUCUCAUCUUGCUCCAUCCCUUUCCCCUUUGUAAUAUAGACAAGCGUAAAUCAACCAAAGGGGUCCUCAUAAAAGCUUUCUCUAAACCUCAGAUCAGUUCAGGGCCCUCUGUGGGUUUUUUGUUUUUUUCUGUUCAAGUAAAUCCUGUGUAUUUUCUUCCUAGAAAUAAUCACAAUUGUAACAAAAUAAUGUACUGGAUAAUUGUUUAAUGUCUGUCUUCCUCCACGUAACCCUCCACGCAGGCACGGGUCUUCUCUUAUUCAACGUGGGAUUCCCAGCUCCUAGGCCAUCGGCUUCAAUAUGGUAGGCGUUCCGUAGCGGCUGUUGAAUUAACAUUAUCCUCUUACUUUACUAGUUUUACCGACUGCUCUUUGGCUGUUAUUUUAAUUCUAAGAAUGCAAUCCUUUGGCCACCAAACUGAUAGGGAAGUCUGCUUUGCUGAUAAGCUCGCUCUCCCCAUAGGCAAAUCUACAUGUGAAUUAAGCCUUUGAAAUACAAAUUGCUAUGGAAACAGCCCCGGGUUCAGUUUGGAAGUGGAGGCUGAGGCUGCCCUUCUCCUGGUGGAGGGAGCUGGUCACAGACAAAUCCUGGCUGCCUGGGCUCUCCAGCCCCCAGCACCCGCUAGUACCUUCGUUCUUCAGCUUCAUCCAUUUACUUUGUUUCGAUUGUUGCUGGAAAUAUACGGAUACAAUCAAGUUUCUGCCCUUGUCAAAUUCCUCAGGGUGUUUCUAAAUUUCUCCACAUAAUCUUUCUGACUAUUCCUUAAGGAACUGGAGUGAAUGUCCUUUUCCUGGAGGCCACAAAGGCAGCCUCUACACAUCCAAUGCCAGGUGACAAGGAUGCAUGAAUAUGACUAGCACAGAAGGGUCGGAAGCAAAGCUAUAAAUGAGAAGUCAGGGAGAUGUUGCCUUCGUUCUGAGAAGAGAACGUUCUGAGAAGGAGAACUCUUCAGCUGUGCCUGAGAAUAGCAAAAGUACCUUUGAUGAGCAUUCAUGAUUGUUGAAAAUGGGGAAAGCAGAGACGGAAGCAGCAGCAGAAGACCUCUGAGAGACAAAGGUGCACCGAAACUACACCCACAGGAGCUGCCUGCAGAGAUUUGCUUAAGUACAGAUGAGGAAACUGAAGCUUGUAGAAGUUAAAUAACUUUCCCAAACAAAGUGGCAGAAGCAAGAUUUUAAAGCCUGGCCUUUGUUUUCAAGAAUCCUGAGCCCCUGGAGAAAUUAUACCAAGGCAGGAGACCAGCGCCUCUGAGCACGAAGGAAAGAGCUGCAGAGAUACCCGACUGUAAUCGCAGAGUCCGCAACCUUGUGAAAGGUGCUGAGUGGCUCCGAAGCAUGGAAGCUGACCCUCGGGGACCAUGUGGGGCUGGAACAUGAACGUGUUUGAGGCAUCCAGAAUCGGUGGAGCAUCCCCGUGUGGUCAGUUCUGGGUGCUCUUUUUGAGGGAAGUCAGAUCAUGGAAGAGGUCCUGCUACACUGAGACAACACACAUUGGAGGGGCAUCUUUGGGAGCAUCCAGAGAGAGAGCCCCAGCUCCAUUCCCAGCCAACAGCCAGUCUCCAGCGCAGCUACGUGAGUUACCCUCUGGGACAUCUCGGCCAGCUGAGCCCCCAGAGGACUGCCGCCCUGGCUGACCUCCAGACCAUGACUGCAUCAGAGUCUCAGGUGAGAUAAGCCUAGCCCAGCCCUGCCCAGACCCCUGACACACAAAGUCAUGACAAAAUAAAAUGAAACGCCUCUAAGUUCGGGGAUCAUUUUUUACACAAUAAGAUUUACUAGAAUGGUAGCCUUAAAAUUAAUUUAUGUGACUCUUAGGUAGUUAGUAAGGCUAAUGUACAAUUUUCAAACAACCAAAGUUCCUACUCCUGGUUUUAUCAUUCACUAACCCUGUGAGCUAGCCAAAGUGUCAUUUUAAUGCCUUGGUCCCUUUGUCUAUAAAAUGGGAAUAUUUCCUUAGAGUUAUUUUAAAGUUUAAGUGAGAAUACAUGUAAAAAUCUUUUCAGAAGGGAGCAUGUGUAAAGCAUGAUCUUCAUACUAAACUUAGCUAAUAAGUAAAAAUUAUAAUGCAAAUGUCUUAUAAUAGAAAUGCAAUGUUAGUUUUUCUUACAGAUCAAAUUUUCAGAGAUAUUUAAGAUAUUUUUCUUAUUUUCCAUAAUAAUGUUUAUUGUUGGAUUGAGGGAGUGAAAGAAUACAAAUUCAAUCAAAGUACAUAAAAGCAUAUGCUUAUUUAGAGGUUCAUUUUCUUCUCCCUUCUUGUUGUGAUAUUACUCUCCAUGAUGUAUUAUGGGUUUUAGGGGUCAUUUGUAUUCAUCAUAAAAAUCUCCUUUGGUAUUAUUAGAGCUCACUGUGGGAUGCUUAGGACUGUCUGAAAGUCAUUCAUCAUUCAGAAUUUAUGAUAAAACCACUGUUAGGCAGCUCCUAGACACUCUGUCAUAUUUAUACUUCUGGAAAACAACAUAGUGAAAGAACAUUUAGGAAGUGACCUUGAUGCUUCCACAUUGUGCUAUUGGGAUAAAUAUCAUCAAUGCUAGAACUUUUUAGCAUCAAUUCUAUCAAGAAUCAACUGCUAAUAUAUCUGAAAAGCUACAUUCCCACAUUUUAUUUCUGACUAUUUCCCUCUGAGUGUAAAUGAGCUGUUUCUAGCAAGCAUGGUCCUUGAUGUGACAUUGGAGUGUACCUUCAAAUCAUUGACAAUUACUAAGGUCUUUCAAGAGAUGAAGGCUGCAAUCUUCAGAUUGUAUUUCUGGGAAUUAUAUAUAUAUAUAUAUAUAUAUAUAUAUAUAUAUAUAUAUAUAUAUAUUUAGCCAGACUACCUUUUCUGUAGAAGGAAGAAAGUUGCUGUGCAAAGAAACUGAGCUGUCCCCUUGAAUAAGCCUCACGGGUCUGAAAAUCUGCUUCUAAAGGGUGCCCAACUCACGGUGAGGCCAAAAAACCCUAAAUAUCGGAGUUUGGAGCAAAGAAAGGUUUAUAGCAGGGCCAAGCAAGGAGAAUGGGUGGCUCGUGGACCCCCAGAAAAGCUCAAACUCCCCGAAGUGUUUCAGCAAAGCAUUUUUAAAGGCCAGGUGAAGGAAGGGCAUCCCAGGGUGUGUGAUCACCUCAUGUGCAAUUCUCUGAUUGGUUGAUGUUGAGGUCAUAAGGUGGUUAACAAUAUCAAUCCUAAGGCACCAGGUCUAGGGGCUAUGCGCUCAUGACCAUCAGGUAGUUAAUUUCUGCCAUUUGGUUGUGGUUUCUAGCAUCUGAAAAACUCAAGAAAUACGCAUGAGAUACUAUUAUCUGGGUACUUCUGGGUACUUCAGAGAGGAGUGACAGCAGAUAUGGGGGAGGGUUCUGUCCCAGAAAGGCCCCGUAGGGCCACAGAGUCCUGCUGGUUACAAGGGAAGUUGUGCUUCUCUGUCUCGAUAGGUAUCUACCAUUUCCUGGAGUCAUAGAUUACACAGGAAAUAGAGGAGACGCCCUGAUUUCUCAUCAUCCCAGUGAUACUACCUCUCUUACCUAUGCGAGGGUGGUGAACUGUGCAGUUUAUCCACAGUGCUCGUGUGCAUGCCUUCUCUUUCUGAAAGCAGUAAAGAAAAAAAAAUCACCCUUUGUGUAGAAUAUUUAAGACAAUGCCAACCCUCGUUUUGGAAGACUAGAAAUUAUCUUAUUAAGUGUUGUUGUUUUCCAGUACCAAAGCCAGUUCUUCAAUGCAAAGUACAAAGUGUGAAACUUUCUUGUAAAAAAAAAAAAAAUCCUCCAUGAUUCUAAUGAAGAAGAAAAGCAAAAAUUACACAGAAUUCAGAGUCCCCCCAAAUUUGGAUACUUAUUUUUUUUCCAGGCUUAUUUCUCCUUAUUCUCUCCCGAUGGCCCUACUCCCACUGUAACCAGUCUCUCAUUGGCAAACAUGCUCUUAGACUUUACACAAACUAUUCCCACUGCUAGGAAUGCACUUCCCUGUUAUUCCAACGGUUGAAAAAGCCCUGCCCUUCCCCAAGCGCUCCACUGAAUUCUAAUUUCUAAAACUUCCCAUAUGUUCUCCAGCCGGAAUUAUCUGUCCCUCAGACAUACCUUCAGGGGAAUCUGUUUAUACUUCUAUCAGUGGUCUAUUGUGAACUGUAUUUUAUCAUUCAUUAUAUACCAUGUUUGAGAUUAAAGAUGCUUAACACGUUGGUUGUCAAGAAUUGUGAAGCGUCUAAGACUUUAUCUGAAUACAAGUCAACGAG